rnacentral:snoRNA from 1 species
AAGAUAAUAAUAUCGUGCGGAAUCCAGGACUAUACGUGUUGCUGUGGAUGCGCUCUUUACGCAUCUAUCGGCGUCAGUCUGCGGAGAGAAGAAAUUGUUCAUCUUAGUGCCCUUUUGUACUAGCGUCUGUGCUUUUGCAAGGGCCGGUAGAACAUACAUAU